GAUGAACGCUAGCGGCAGGCUUAAUACAUGCAAGUCGAGGGGUAACACGGGUAGCAAUAUCUGGUGACGACCGGCAAACGGGUGCGGAACACGUACAGAACCUUCCUUUAAGCGGGGGAUAGCCCAUAGAAAUGUGGAUUAAUACCCCAUAGUAAUAUUGUCUGGCAUCAGAUGGUAUUUAAAGAUUUAUCACUUAAAGAUGGCUGUGCGGCUGAUUAGGUAGUUGGUGGGGUAACGGCCCACCAAGCCAGCGAUCAGUAACUGGUGUGAGAGCACGACCAGUCACACGGGCACUGAGACACGGGCCCGACUCCUACGGGAGGCAGCAGUAAGGAAUAUUGGUCAAUGGACGCAAGUCUGAACCAGCCAUGCCG
rnacentral:rRNA from 1 species